rnacentral:rRNA from 1 species
CAAUAGCGUAUAUUAAAGUUGUUGCGGUUAAAAAGCUCGUAGUUGGAUUUCUGCCGAGGACGACCAGUCCGCCCACUGGGUGAGCAUCUGGCUCAGCCUUAGCAUCUUCUUGGAGAACGUAUCUGCACUUCAUUGUGUGGUGCGGUAACCAGGACUUUUACUUUGAGGAAAUUAGAGUGUUUCAAGCAGGCGUGCGCCUUGAAUACAUUAGCAUGGAAUAAUAAGAUAGGACCUUAGUUCUAUUUUGUUGGUUUCUAGAGCUGGGGUAAAGAUUAAUAGGGAUAGUUGGGGGCAUUCGUAUUUAACUGUCAGAGGUGAAAUUCUUGGAAUUGUUAAAGACGGACUACUGCGAAAGCAUUUGCCAAGGAUGUUUUCAUUGA